rnacentral:rRNA from 1 species
CGGCGGACGGGUGAGUAAUGCUUGGGAACAUGCCUUGAGGUGGGGGACAACCGUUGGAAACGACGGCUAAUACCGCAUAAUCUCUACGGAGCAAAGGGGGCUUUUAGCUCUCGCCUUUAGAUUGGCCCAAGUGGGAUUAGCUAGUUGGUGGGGUAAUGGCUCACCAAGGCGACGAUCCCUAGCUGGUUUGAGAGGAUGAUCAGCCACACUGGAACUGAGACACGGUCCAGACUCCUACGGGAGGCAGCAGUGGGGAAUAUUGCACAAUGGGCGCAAGCCUGAUGCAGCCAUGCCGCGUGUGUGAAAAAGGCCUUCGGGUUGUAAAGCACUUUCAGUCAGGAGGAAAGGUUAGUAGUUAAUACCUGCUAGCUGUGACGUUACUGACAGAAGAAGCACCGGCUAACUCCGUGCCAGCAGCCGCGGUAAU